CACACUGUGAUCUCCGGUCUUGUCGUUGUCUCGCGACUGCCGCAUCAGUCGAAGCCAACACAAAGACACAGGAAGUGAAGACUCGUUUGGUAACCAUGACAACGUUAUAUUAAUAGAGUUUAUUUGUCAUGAUUGUCUUUAUGACAAUGGUUUACUCGAAGAUGGAAAUCAUACAUUUUACACGAUAGAUUUAAGCUGCAACACAGACCCUACACACCAGGAUAUGGGGUGUUCUCCUUCCCGUCCACAUCUCAAAACAAAAACAGAAAAAGGACAGAAAGGUCAGUCGAACAUAGCCUACUUCAACAUCCGGGGCAAACCAGAUGGCGAGGAGAAAGCUGCUACUACAGAUCACAAGGAUAGGUUUGCCGUCCAGUACCAUCCAUGCUCAGACAUGCCCACAGAUACAACAUCCAUCGAAUCCUCUUCUGCUGAUCUGCACGAGAACAGUACGAAAGAUGACUUAUCUGUUUACCAGAAGACUGCAAUCUGAUUUCACGAACUCAUUCAUAUCAAAUAUUGUUGUCGUUUAACACAUGUAAUACAACUGUUGAUAAGAUGUCAUAUUGAUAUUCGGGAACAGUCCAGGAGAAUACCAUUUCGUGCUCUUACAACCUGACGCCUAAGUCGGUCGCAAUGCUGCCUCACAACGAUUCGUAUAAAGUUCCAAUAAUAUGUGUAUCCAAUAAGAUAGGCUUUUAUAUAAGGUAUAUAAAGUAUUUUGAUAUAUUUUAAUUGACAUAAUACAGUUUUUGUACAUUUCUUUGAAAAUAUAAUAUUAUUGGCCGUCUAUAUAGGAUAAUGAUGUUUGAUUUU